UCGAGAAUCAUUCACAAUGGAGGAAACUCUGAUGCAGCGAUGCCGCGUGAGUGAAGAAGGCCUUUGGGUUGUAAAGCUCUUUCGUCGGGGAAGAAAAUGACUGUACCCGAAUAAGAAGGUCCGGCUAACUUCGUGCCAGCAGCCGCGGUAAUACGAAGGGACCUAGCGUAGUUCGGAAUUACUGGGCUUAAAGAGUUCGUAGGUGGUUGAAAAAGUUGGUGGUGAAAUCCCAGAGCUUAACUCUGGAACUGCCAUCAAAACUUUUCAGCUAGAGUAUGAUAGAGGAAAGCAGAAUUUCUAGUGUAGAGGUGAAAUUCGUAGAUAUUAGAAAGAAUACCAAUUGCGAAGGCAGCUUUCUGGAUCAUUACUGACACUGAGGAACGAAAGCAUGGGUAGCGAAGAGG
rnacentral:rRNA from 1 species